rnacentral:rRNA from 1 species
GCAAGUCGAACGAGAAAUUUUUCCUUCGGGAAAGAGAGUAAAGUGGCGCACGGGUGAGUAACGCGUAGAUAAUCUACCCUGGUGUUUGGGAUAACAUCGCGAAAGCGGUGCUAAUACCGGAUACGCUCCUUCGGGAGGAAAGAUGGCCUCUUCUUGAAAGCUAUCGCAUUAGGAUGAGUCUGCGUACCAUUAGCUAGUUGGUAGGGUAAUGGCCUACCAAGGCGACGAUGGUUAGCGGGUCUGAGAGGAUGAUC